GUAUAUUCAGCCCUAUUCUGCAUUUCUACUCGAAUCGAAAUUUUCUCCGAUUGGCAACUUUGGUAUUCUGCGUUUCGAUUCAACUUCGAAAAUUCCAAUUCUAUGUAUUCUGCAUUGCGAUCGUAAUUACGUUUUUGUACGUUGAAGUUUUGUUGGCGGAAAGCCGUUAUAUAUUCAUUUUCGUGCAUUUGGAUAAAAUAAUUUCCUCAAAUAAGUAUGUCAAAAGUUACAACGGCAGAGCAAUACGAAAAAUUGUGUGAUAUGAUGGCCACGAAAAGAGAUAUUGCGCAGGGCUUCCAAAAGCGACCGAAGGAAGAAGUACAGGAGUUUUGGGAGGAGGUUGCAAGGAAUUUAAAUGCACUUGGCCCACCAACAAAAGAUUCCAAUACAUGGAGAAAGGUCUGGAUUGACUGGAAAUGCUACAUGAAGCGAAAAUUAUCGCAUAACAAAAAAGAAAGGAUGAGCACCGGUGGAGGUCCUU